rnacentral:rRNA from 1 species
UCGAGAAUAUUCCACAAUGGGCGAAAGCCUGAUGGAGCGACGCCGCGUGCAGGAAGAAGGCCCUCGGGUCGUAAACUGCGGUAGUAGAAAACUAAUGCAAAUGAAGAUUCUACGGAAAGAGGUUGGUAACUACGUGCCAGCACCCGCGGUAAUACGUAGACCUCAAGCGUUAUCCGGAUUUAUUGGGCGUAAAGAGCGUGUAGGGGGUCCGGUGCGUCUUUGGUUAAAGCCCACUGCCCAACGGUGGAGGUGCCAAAGAUACGAUCGGACUAGAGGGAGUCAGAGGUGCAUGGAACGCACGGUGUAGGGGUGAAAUCCGUUGAUAUCGUGCGGAACACCAAAGGCGAAGGCAGUGCACUGGGACUUUCCUGACCCUGAGACGCGAAAGCGUGGGGAGCAA